rnacentral:rRNA from 1 species
CGAUGCGUAGGGGUUCUGAGAGGAAGGUCCCCCACACUGGUACUGAGACACGGACCAGACUCCUACGGGAGGCAGCAGUGAGGAAUAUUGGUCAAUGGGAGAGAUCCUGAACCAGCCAAGCCGCGUGAGGGAAGACGGCCCUAUGGGUUGUAAACCUCUUUUGUCGGAGAACAAAACCCGGGACGAGUCCCGGACUGCGUGUAUCCGAAGAAAAAGCAUCGGCUAACUCCGUGCCAGCAGCCGCGGUAAUACGGAGGAUGCGAGCGUUAUCCGGAUUUAUUGGGUUUAAAGGGUGCGUAGGCGGUCCGUUAAGUCAGCGGUAAAAUUGCGGGGCUCAACCCCGUCGAGCCGUUGAAACUGUCAGACUUGAGUUGGCGAGAAGUACGCGGAAUGCGCGGUGUAGCGGUGAAAUGCAUAGAUAUCGCGCAGAACUCCGAUUGCGAAGGCAGCGUACCGGCGCCAGACUGACGCUGAGGCACGAAAGCGUGGGGAUCGAACAGGAUUAGAUACCCUGGUAGUCCACGCAGUAAACGAUGAAUGCUGGUUGUCCGGGUCGAAUGAGACCUGG